rnacentral:lncRNA from 13 species
CUAAAGUUAAAAUUUUUAAAAAAAGAAAGAAGUUGUUCCUGUAUUCCUUUUCCAAAACAUCUGAAAUCAGGAAAAUGAAAAUUGCUGUAAAUUCAGGUAGUGGUAUGGUGAAGGAAUAUAUCUCACAUCUAGGUGUUGUCUAGUGUUUGACUCUUUGCCAUAGCCAGGUGACAGCUAGACUUCUCAGCUUAUUCUCAGGCAACUGUGAAAAAGGAAACAAGAUUUGCAUUACUUCCCAUCACCGUUACCUUCAUUUUCCCAUGCUGUACUGCUUCAUGUGCUGCCAUGCAAAGAAUAAUUGUGGGCAUUCUAGAACAGAAUUGGAUUUUUAAUUUGGAUUUUGUUUUGAUGCAGCUGUGAAGAGCUACUUCCACCAGAUUGUCCUGUGAAAAACCACAUCUCUCCAUCUGGUUGCCAAACAGGAAAUAAAGCAAAACAAACCCCAAACACUGGUUUAGAUUAGUUUGCUUUGAACUGGAUUUAAAAUUGCUUUAUCUUGCUGAAUAAACCCUUGUAUUUAUUUCAUGCAAAAUAUUCCAUGCUAAUCUAAGAAUUUUAUUUUGCUGCCUUCAUGUCCAAGGAAUUGACUUACUUCAGCAUGAUCUCAGAUACAAUGCAGAGAGGACUCUCAACCAGGUUUUUCAGACACGCCCACAGUCCACAGCCCCUUCUGUUUCAUGAGCACUCUGAAAAUCAAGACACAAGACAAACAACCCCUUUGAACAAAGCUUUCUGA